UACGUAGGGUGCAAGCGUUGUCCGGAAUUAUUGGGCGUAAAGAGCUCGUAGGCGGUCUGUCACGUCGGCUGUGAAAACUCGGGGCUUAACCCCGAGCCUGCAGUGGAUACGGGCAGACUAGAGGUAGGUAGGGGAGAAUGGAAUUCCCGGUGUAGCGGUGAAAUGCGCAGAUAUCGGGAGGAACACCGGUGGCGAAGGCGGUUCUCUGGGCCUUACCUGACGCUGAGGAGCGAAAGCGUGGGGAGCGAACAGG
rnacentral:rRNA from 1 species